rnacentral:lncRNA from 1 species
UAUGAUGGUUAGUUCACCAUCUGCCAUAAUAUGUUAGACGCAGUGACAAACUUGAAAUUAUAUUCACCUAUUAUGUUAGGUCUAGUAAUACUUGUCAAAGUAGUUCUUUAUUAUGAUUGUUAGUAAACUACCUGUCAUAGUAGGUCAUAAUCCCUAAUUUUACCAAUUCAAUAUCUUCGUUCACGCUUCUAGAUUUCUUCUUCUUCUCUUCUUCUCUUCGUUCACGCUUCCAAACUUCAUCUUCUCUUCGUUCACGCAUCGUCCUUUAUUUUUCUAUUCGUUCAUGCUUCCAAACUUCUUCUUCGUUGAUGCGUCAUUCCAAACCCACUGUCUCAUCGCCAUCGCCUACACACACGAUUGCCUUUCCAUGUCGUCGUCUCCCAGACGCCAUCAUCUCCGACCGAAGACGUUGUGUUCUUUGUUUUUGUUUUAAGUUUAUUCUUUUCCAUUCACCC